UACGGAAGGCAGCAGUGGGGAAUAUUGCACAAUGGGCGCAAGCCUGAUGCAGCCAUGCCGCGUGUAUGAAGAAGGCCUUCGGGUUGUAAAGUACUUUCAGUCGUGAGGAAGGUGUUAAGGUUAAUAACCUUAGCAAUUGACGUUAGCGACAGAAGAAGCACCGGCUAACUCCGUGCCAGCAGCCGCGGUAAUACGGAGGGUGCGAGCGUUAAUCGGAAUUACUGGGCGUAAAGGGCACGCAGGCGGUUAAUUAAGUUGGAUGUGAAAUCCCCGGGCUUAACCUGGGAAUGGCAUUCAAGACUGGUUAGCUAGAGUCUUGUAGAGGGGGUAGAAUUCCAUGUGUAGCGGUGAAAUGCGUAGAGAUGUGGAGGAAUACCGGUGGCGAAGGCGGCCCCUGGACAAAGACUGACGCUCAUGUGCGAAAGCGUGGGGAGCAAACAGGGAGUAGAUACC
rnacentral:rRNA from 1 species